GAUGAACGCUAGCGGCAGGCUUAAUACAUGCAAGUCGUGGGGCAGCAUGACUGUAGCAAUACAGUUGAUGGCGACCGGCAAACGGGUGCGGAACACGUACACAACCUUCCUUUAAGUGGGGAAUAGCCCAGAGAAAUUUGGAUUAAUACCCCGUAACAUAGUGAAAAGGCAUCUUUUUAUUAUUAUAGCAGCAAUGCGCUUAAUGAUGGGUGUGCGGCUGAUUAGAUAGUUGGCGGGGUAACGGCCCACCAAGUCUGCGAUCAGUAACUGGUGUGAGAGCACGACCAGUAACACGGGCACUGAGACACGGGCCCGACUCCUACGGGAGGCAGCAGUAAGGAAUAUUGGUCAAUGGACGCAAGUCUGAACCAGCCAUGCCGCGUGGAGGAUGAAGGUCCUCUGGAUUGUAAACUUCUUUUAUAUGGGACGAAAAAAGGUCUUUCUAGAUCAACUGACGGUACCAUAUGAAUAAGCACCGGCUAACUCCGUGCCAGCCGCCGCCGUAAAAC
rnacentral:rRNA from 1 species